ACGAACGCUGGCGGUGUGCUUAAUACAUGCAAGUCGAACGUGAAGCUGACUUCGGUCAGUGGAAAGUGGCGGACGGGUGAGUAACACGUAGGUAAUCUGCCUUAAGGUGGGGGACAACGUUGGGAAACUGACGCUAAUACCCCAUAUGUGGCGAGUUGUAAUACUCGUUAUGAAAGUUCCGGCGCCUUAAGAUGAGCCUGCGGCUGAUUAGUUUGUUGGUGAGGUAAUGGCUUACCAAGACUAUGAUCAGUAGCUGGUCUGAGAGGAUGAUCAGCCACAAUGGGACUGAGACACGGCCCAUACUCCUACGGGAGGCAGCAGUAGGGAAUUUUGCGCAAUGGGCGAAAGCCUGACGCAGCAACACCGCGUGAGUGAUGAAGCAUCUUGGUGUGUAAAACUCUGUCAGAGGGGACGAAUUUUGACGGUACCCUCAAAGGAAGCAUCGGCUAACUACGU
rnacentral:rRNA from 1 species